GACGAACGCUGGCGGCGUGCUUAACACAUGCAAGUCGAACGGAAAGGCCCUGUUUUUGUGGGGUUCUGGAGUGGCGAACGGGUGUGUGUCACGUGAGUAACCUGUCCUUUACUUUGGGAUACCUUAAGGAGAAUGGGGUUCUUACACGAUAUGAGCUCUUGCUGCAUGGUGGGGGUUGGUAAGUUUUGGCGGUUGUGGAUGGAAUGGCGGCUAAUCAGUUUGUUGGUGGGGUGGUGUCUUACCAGGGCAUUGACGGGUAGCUCGCCUGCGAGGGUGACCGGCCACAUAGGGACUGGGAAAGGAGCAGGACUCCUACGGGAGGCAGAAGUGGGAAAUACUGCACAAUGGGCGGAAGCCUGAUGCAGCAACGCCGCGUGCGGAAUGACGGCCGUCGGGUUGUAAACCGCUUGCGCCUGGGACGAAGCGUAAGUGACGGUAAUGGGUAAGGAAGCACCGGCUAACUACGUG
rnacentral:rRNA from 1 species